rnacentral:rRNA from 1 species
UCCAAUCGAACUCGGAGAUAGCUGGUUCUCCCCGAAAUAGCUUUAGGGCUAGCGUCGAGGUAAAGUCGUGUGAAGGUAGAGCACUGAAUAUGUGAUGGCCCCAUCUCGGGGUACUGAACAUAAUCAAACUCCGAAUGUCACAAAGAUAUACUCGGCAGUCAGACAGUGGGUGAUAAGGUCCAUUGUCAAAAGGGAAACAGCCCAGACCAUCAGCUAAGGUCCCAAAAUAUAUACUAAGUGGAAAAGGAUGUGGAGAUGUCCAGACAACUAGGAGGUUGGCUCAGAAGCAGCCAUCCUUUAAAGAGUGCGUAACAGCUCACUAGUCGAAUGACUCUGCGCCGAUAAUUUACCGGGGCUAAGUAUAUUACCGAAGCUAUGGAUUUACGCGUAAGCGUGAGUGGUAGGGGAGCGUUCUAUGUGCGGAGAAGCGGUACCGUAAGGAGCCGUGGAGCGCAUAGAAGAGAGAAUGCCGGUGUGAGUAGCGAAACGUGGGUGAGAAUCCCACGCACCGAAAACCCAAGGUUUCCAGAGGAAGGUUCGUCCGCUCUGGGUAAGUCGGGACCUAAGGCGAGGCCGAGAGGCGUAGUCGAUGGACAACAGGUAGAGAUUCCUGUACUUACGGUAUGAAUGAUGGAGUGACGGAGAAGGCUAGCGGAUCCUGCUGAUGGAAAUGCAGGUGCAAGCGAGGUAGCCGACAGCCAGGCAAAUCCGGCUGUCGAAAGGCAAAGGCGUGAGGCGUAUGGAAAGCUGCGGCAAGUACAGAAGUCCGUGAAGCCAGCUUCCAAGAAAAGCUUCUAGUGAUAAUCAUACAGUAACCCGUACCGAAAAUGGACACACAUGGGUGAGGAGAGAAUCCUAAGGUGAGCGAGAGAACUAUAGCUAAGGAACUCUGCAAAAUGACUCCGUAACUUAGGGAUAAGGAGUGCUCAUAGAGAUAUGAGCCGCAGUGAAACGGCCCAAGCGACUGUUUACCAAAAACACAGCUCUAUGCUAAGUCGAAAGACGACGUAUAUGGGGUGACGCCUGCCCGGUGCUGGAAGGUUAAGAGGAUGUGUCAGCGCAAGCGAAGCAUUGAAUUGAAGCCCCAGUAAACGGCGGCCGUAACUAUAACGGUCCUAAGGUAGCGAAAUUCCUUGUCAGGUAAGUUCUGACCCGCACGAAAGGCGUAACGAUUUGGGCGCUGUCUCAGCUGUAGACUCGGUGAAGUCUUAGUACCUGUGAAGAUGCAGGUUACCCGCGACUAGACGGAAAGACCCCAUGGAGCUUUACUGUAGCUUGAUAUUGGACUUUGAUGCAAGAUGUACAGGAUAGGUAGGAGACUGAGAGACAUGCACGCCAGUGUGUGAGGAGUCAAUGUUGGGAUACUACUCUUCUUGUAUUGGAGUUCUAACCGGAUGCCAUGGAACUGGCAACGGGACAGUGUCAGGUGGGCAGUUUGACUGGGGCGGUCGCCUCCCAAAGAGUAACGGAGGCGCCCAAAGGUUCCCUCAGAAUGGAUGGAAAUCAUUCGAAGAGUGCAAUGGCAGAAGGGAGCCUGACUGCGAGACAGACAAGUCGGGCAGAGACGAAAGUCGGGCAUAGUGAUCAGGUGACAUCGAGUGGAAGAGUCAUCGCUCAACGGAUAAAAGCUACCUCGGGGAUAACAGGCUGAUCUCCCCCAAGAGUCCACAUCGACGGGGAGGUUUGGCAC